UACGGGGGGGGCAAGCGUUGUUCGGAUUUACUGGGCGUAAAGGGCGCGUAGGCGGCCACCGCAAGUCGACUGUGAAAUCUCCGGGCUUAACCCGGAAAGGUCAGCCGAUACUGCGGGGCUAGAGUGCAGAAGGGGCAACUGGAAUUCUCGGUGUAGCGGUGAAAUGCGUAGAUAUCGAGAGGAACACCUGCGGCGAAGGCGGGUUGCUGGGCUGACACUGACGCUGAGGCGCGAAAGCUAGGGGAGCGAACGGG
rnacentral:rRNA from 1 species